rnacentral:rRNA from 1 species
UACGUAGGGGGCUAGCGUUGUCCGGAAUCAUUGGGCGUAAAGCGCGUGUAGGCGGCCCGGUAAGUCCGCUGUGAAAGUCGGGGGGCUCAACCCUCGGAUGCCGGUGGAUACUGUCGGGCUAGAGUACGGAAGAGGCGAGUGGAAUUCCUGGUGUAGCGGUGAAAUGCGCAGAUAUCAGGAGGAACACCAAUUGCGAAGGCAGCUCGCUGGGACGUUACUGACGCUGAGGUGCGAAAGCGUGGGGAGCAAACAGG